GAUGAACGCUGGCGGCGUGCCUAAUACAUGCAAGUCGAGCGAACAGACGAGGAGCUUGCUCCUCUGACGUUAGCGGCGGACGGGUGAGUAACACGUGGAUAACCUACCUAUAAGACUGGGAUAACUUCGGGAAACCGGAGCUAAUACCGGAUAAUAUAUUGAACCGCAUGGUUCAAUAGUGAAAGACGGUUUUGCUGUCAUUUAUAGAUGGAUCCGCGCCGCAUUAGCUAGUUGGUAAGGUAACGGCUUACCAAGGCAACGAUGCGUAGCCGACCUGAGAGGGUUAACGGCCACACUGGAACUGAGACACGGUCCAGACUCCUACGGGAGGCAGCAGUAGGGAAGCUUCCGCAAUGGGCGAAAGCCUGACGGAGCAACGCCGCAUGAGUGAUGAAGGUCUUCGGAUCGUAAAACUCUGUUAUUAGGGAAGAACAAAUGUGUAAGUAACUAUGCACGUCUUGACGGUACCUAAUCAGAAAGCCACGGCUAACUACGUG
rnacentral:rRNA from 1 species